rnacentral:rRNA from 1 species
AAUCCCCCAUAGGGGAGGAGGUCUGGAAUGAUCCCUCCCCGAAAGGCGUAAGCCGCCCGAGGAUGGGGCUGCGGCGGAUUAGGUAGUUGGUGGGGUAAUGGCCCACCAAGCCUACGAUCCGUACGGGCCCUGAGAGGGGGAGCCCGGAGAUGGACACUGAGACACGGGUCCAGGCCCUACGGGGCGCAGCAGGCGCGAAACCUCCGCAAUGCGCGAAAGCGCGACGGGGGGACCCCGAGUGCCCUGCCUCUGGCAGGGCUUUUCCGGAGUGUAAACAGCUCCGGGAAUAAGGGCUGGGCAAGUCCGGUGCCAGCAGCCGCGGUAAUACCGGCGGCCCAAGUGGUGGCCACUGUUAUUGGGCCUAAAGCGUCCGUAGCCGGCCCGGUAAGUCUCUGCUUAAAUCCCGCGGCUUAACCGCGGGACUGGCAGAGAUACUGCCGGGCUUGGGACCGGGAGAGGCCGGGGGUACCCCAGGGAUAGCGGUGAAAUGCGUUGAUCCCUGGGGGACCACCUGUGGCGAAGGCGCCCGGCUGGAACGGGUCCGACGGUGAGGGACGAAGGCCGGGGGAGCAAACCGGAUUAGAUACCCGGGUAGUCCCGGCUGUAAACUCUGCGGACUAGGUGUCGCGUGCCCUUCGGGGGCACGCGGUGCCGAAGGGAAGCCGUUAAGUCCGCCGCCUGGGGAGUACGGUCGCAAGACUGAAACUUAAAGGAAUUGACGG